UUUUAAACUUUUUUGAAUAAACAGUUUUCUCUUAUUCAAAAAGUAAUACAUCAAUCAUCAUAAGUCAUUAUCAAAUCAUCAUCUUGUUAAAGAUUCAAUUAACGCAAAUCAAUCGAUGUGUGUUUGUUUGUGUGACAUUUAUCAAUUUAUGGAUCAGGAAAAAAUAACGUUGGUGGUUGACAUCUUUUUUUUAACCUUUGUGUAAUGUGUUUUAUUUUGUAACCAAAAGUGUAUCUGUAUUCGACGAUAAGCCAAAUCAACACUGCUAAGAUAAAAAAAACUUUAACGGAACCAUCAAGUGAAAAUUGGUCAUUUUAUGGUCCAAACAACAACGAUCCAAUAAUUACCGUAACUAAGUUGUGCCAUAUGGAAAAAUCUAACGUUUGAUUGGAUUUUAAAUCAUCACUCACGUAUCUUAAAUCUUUUGGAAAAAAUGAAAAACAAAACGACCACAACGAAGCCAUUUGAUGGCUCUGGACAUAAUCGAUUACAUCAUAUCAAUCAUUAUGAUGAUCAUGAUGACAUUUUAAAAUUGAAAUUAAAAUUCAACAAAUACAAAAUGGCAAAGACAACAACGAUACAUCCUCAUAAUCAAUGUAUAAGAUUUAUAUCAUCAUCAUCAUCAUCAACGACGACGAUAUUCAUCACAGAUGAUGAUGCUAAACAUCAACAAAAUCAAAAUUUAAAUCAUUUUCACCAUUAUUGCCAUAAUUGCUCACAAUAUACCAAUCAUUGCCAUCAAUGUAGAAAAGUCAAAUCGAAAAAUUCGUAUCAUCAUCAUCAUUUAUCAAGUCAACAUAAUCAAUAUUUGCCAUUAAUAUAUUGGACAUUGUUUAUAAUCACAAUAAUUUUCAAUCCAUUAUCAGCUACAUCUACUACUGCUAAUAUGACAUCCAGUAUACGUCGUUCAGGACGAUUACCACCACAACGUUUUGAAAUGGAACCAAUUGAUAAAACAUCAAUUGUCGGUGAUACAAUUAUAUUGCCAUGUCGUGUUGCGAAUAAAGUUGGCACAUUACAAUGGACAAGAGAUGGUUUCGGUCUCGGUACGGAACGAACACUGGAAGGAUUUCAACGUUAUCGUAUGAUUGGUUCCGAUGAUGAAGGUGAUUAUUCAUUAGAAAUAUCACCAGUAACAUUGGAAGAUGAUGCUGUAUUUCAAUGUCAAGUUGGUGCUAUUGAAGGUGGUGUAUCAGGAAUACGUUCACGUUCAGCACGUUUCACUGUACAAGUGCCUCCAGAAUCUCCGGUUAUUAUUGUGACACAUGCUCAUUCACAUGCACAGGUUUAUAAAUCAUCAUCAUCAUCAACAACAAAUGAUGAACAGGUCGAUUCUUCAAUGUUUACCGUAUCAUCUACAUCAUUCGAAUCAUCAUCAGAUGAUCAAUCAAUUAAUAAUAAUCAAAAGUCAACGAUGAAUGAUAAUGAUCAUAAUCUACGUACAACAGCCGGUAUGACUAUUGAAUUAACAUGUGAAGCACACGGAGGUCGUCCACCAGCUGAGCUUACCUGGAUGGAUAGCAACGGAAAUCCAAUAACAAAUGGUGUAUCAUAUUCCACAACAAAAUUACCGGAUGGAAAACGUUGGAAUGCUGCAUUGAAAUGGACAGUGGUGGCAAGUCGUUCAUUAGAUGGACAACGUGUUACAUGUCGUUCGGAAAAUGCUGCAUUGAAAUCACCACGUUAUGCUCAUAUUCAACUGGAAGUACGUUAUCCACCAGAAGUUGAAUUACGUAUUGCAUCACUUGAUGAUGAUAAUGAUGGUGGUGGUGGCCUUGUACGUGAAGGUGAUGAUCUUACAUUAGAAUGUCUGGCAAUCGGUAAUCCAUCAUUGAUGACAUUCAAAUGGAGUCGUGAUGGUGUUCCAUUGAAUAGUGAUGGUGAUAUUACUGGCGCUGGGGGUGGCGGCAGUGGUGUUGCUUCCUCAGCAGCUACUGCAAGUGGUGAUGGUACACCACGUUUAAUAUUUCGUCGUAUUGGUCGUGAAUUUCAUGGUACGAAUAUUGCUUGUGAAGUAGCGAAUAGUGUUGGUACAACACGUGUAAGAAUAGAAAUAAAAGUAGCAUUCAAACCACGAUUUUCGAAAUUGCCGGAACCAGUAAUUGGUUUAGCUAAAAAUGAACACGUACGUCUGAAUUGUAAUAUUGACAGUUAUCCACCAGCACGAAUAUAUUGGUAUCGUUUCAUGCCCAAAUUAUCAUCAAUUGAUGAUCAUUAUUUUGACGAUAAUAAUUGGCAAUCAAUCAAUAAUGGUGUCGGCGAUAAUGAGCAAUCGAUACAGAUUUCUGAAGCCGGUAGAUAUCGUUGUAUGGCAAAAAAUAAUGCAUUCGAUGUUGAACUUAAAGCUGAAACAUUGGUAUUUAUUAAAGGUGCACCAUUAAUAAGAAGUCCAUCCAUUCAAUAUGGUAUUGAAAAUGAACCAGUAAGAUUACAAUGUAUUGUUGAAGCGGUACCACCACCAACAAAAAUUACCUGGUUCAAAUUGCAGCCAUAUCAACAGAUAAAAUGAUAAAAGUAAAGGAUAGAAAAAGAGGCUAUUCCAAUGAAUAAUGACAGGAAUUUGUUUUAUGAAUAAAUGGAAUAUGAAAAAAAAUGAUUCCAGAAACAAGAAAUAUAGAGAUUUCAUUUGAAAUAUACUAAACAGGAAAAAAUGAGAUUCGUGACCAAUGCAAUGCAAGCCAAGUGCAAUAAUAAUAAAUAUAUGAACAAGAAAGAACGGAAAUGAUCCACCGAAAAAACGCCCAUUUAAAGCAAAGCAAAAUACAAAUGAUAUAUGAAUGGUGUCAAUCAAAGCUACUUGGUGUCGAUAAUAAUGAAGGUUAUGAAAUACUGGAAG